rnacentral:rRNA from 1 species
UACGGAGGGUGCGAGCGUUGUCCGGAAUCACUGGGCGUAAAGGGCGCGUAGGCGGUCUGCUAAGCGUGCGGUGAAAGCCUGGGGCUCAACCCCAGGUCUGCCGUGCGAACUGGUGGACUUGAGCACUGUAGAGGCAGGUGGAAUUUCGGGUGUAGCGGUGGAAUGCGUAGAUAUCUGGAGGAACACCGGUGGCGAAGGCGGCAUCCUGGACCGACACUGACGCUGAUGAGCGAAAGCCAGGGGAGCAAACGGG